UAGCUGCAUCAUUUGACGUUAGCGACAGAAGAAGCACCGGCUAACUCCGUGCCAGCAGCCGCGGUAAUACGGAGGGUGCGAGCGUUAAUCGGAAUUACUGGGACGUAAAAGCGCAUGCAGGUGGUUUGUUAAAGUCAGAUGUGAAAAAGCCCGGGCUCAAACCUCGGAAAUAGCAUUUGAAAAACUGGCAGACUAGAGUACUGUAGAGGGGGUAGAAUUUCAGGUGUAGCGGUGAAAAUGCGUAGAGAUCUGAAGGAAUACCGGUGGCGAAGGCGGCCCCCUGGACAGAUACUGACACUCAGAUGCGAAAGCGUGGGGAGCAAACAGGAUUAGAUACCCUGGUAG
rnacentral:rRNA from 1 species